UUUGUUUCUUUCUUUGUAUGACUCUUUCCAUCUACAUGCUAUGGUUGGAGCAUCACAAUGGUGAAUGUGAAACGUGAUGGCAAUAAAAGGCAAGUCAAAUCUGAAUGUUUUGUAUAUUAAUACUUCAAAAAAACUUUAUUAACUUGUUUUAUAGUCAAAAUCACUGUAUUUCUGAACAUGUUUUUCUCUGUUUUUCUUUACUUUACUUUUUCCAACUACAUGCCACGGUUUGAGCAUCACAAUGGCAAACAUGUUUGAGACGUCACAAUGGAUACCAGGUGUUUUCCUUUUGGACGCUGUCUGCGGUGCAGAGUGUUUCGGCUAGGGCUGCUCGCUCACCUCUACCUGUCUGCUGCGAGUACAAGGUCUCUGCUUGUGACUGAGGACAUUUUCCUGUGCUUCCUGAUCGUAUUUUCCUGAGUUGUUCUCCAGUUCUGCGUCCACCAUCAACUCUAUCUACCAGUGAACGGCAGACUGCCCGAGUUUCUUUUGUGACUGAAUAAACCUCAUUUGUCUGCACCUUUGCGUUUGGGUCCUCUCUCCACUCCACGACAAUGGGAACAUAGUAAUGACUCCAGCAAUGAAAGUGGAGGAAGGACUCAAAGAAUAGGAAAAAAAACAUUAGGCUAAUUAUUAAAACAGAGUUCUAGCACUGCAGACAACUAAUGCUUCAAUAGACUAUUUUAAAAGCAAGUGCAAAUGAUUUGCAUCCACAGAGACAGAAUGGGUCUGACAUGACAGGUCUGGAAAGACUUUAGACAGAAUACAAUGUGCACUGGUGUGAUUGUGUUCACAUAUUGACUACCGGCUCAUUACUUCAGUAGCAU